rnacentral:rRNA from 14 species
UGGUGAAAUUAGCGCUGUGGAACCACCCGAUCCCAUCCCGAACUCGGAAGUGAAACGCAGCUGCGCCGAUGGUAGUGUGGCUCAAGCCA